rnacentral:sRNA from 1 species
GGAAGAGAGCCAAGCAGUUCCAUGAAGCUUGGAGUAAACUUAUGGAGUGGCUAGAAGAGUCAGAAAAGUCUUUGGAUUCUGAACUGGAAAUCGCGAAUGAUCCAGACAAAAUAAAAGCACAACUUGCACAACAUAAGGAGUUUCAGAAAUCACUCGGAGCCAAGCAUUCUGUCUACGACACCACCAACAGGACUGGACGUUCUCUGAAGGAGAAAACCUCCCUGGCUGAUGACAACCUGAAACUGGAUGACAUGCUGAGUGAACUCAGAGACAAAUGGGAUACCAUAUGUGGAAAAUCUGUGGAAAGACAAAACAAAUUGGAGGAAGCCCUGUUAUUUUCUGGACAAUUCACAGAUGCCCUACAGGCUCUCAUUGAUUGGUUAUAUAGAGUUGAACCCCAGCUGGCAGAAGACCAGCCUGUUCAUGGAGACAUUGAUUUAGUGAUGAAUCUGAUCGAUAAUCACAAGGUAUUGUUAUCUGGGACAUUUUAUUUUAUCUUGUUUGAUUAUUCUGAGUGUACAAGGAAAUGUAAACCAUUUAAAUUAGCCUUUUAAAAUCAGAAGACUAUAGAUCAUACUACAUAACAGUCUUUAUUGUUGAAAUAUGUGUCCGUUUGAGCAGAACCUGGAAGCAAACUUUAAAAGUGAUGGGGAAAUAUUAUUUAGUGUCAGUGAAAUACAUUUGCUUUUAAUUACCAGAUCUAAAACCUUUUUAGAACUUGGAAAGUGAUUUCAUUCUCUGGUGCUUUAAAACAGAUUUCAAGAAUGUUUUACUAUCUUUAGUUAUGCACUUAAACAAUUAUGUAAUAAAAUUUAAAAUCAUUCAUUCAGUGACCUGACACUAAGUCAUUGCAUAAGUAUGUAGAUUUGUGACAUGAUCCAUGGUGGUCAUGACCAACUGCUUUUAAAAAUACUGAACCAAAACUGUUUUAACCUUGCCCCUUGAAUUAUAGCAAUUUAUGAGUCAGCAGCAUGUGCUAUAAUGGAUUUGAUUAUUAUUUACUUCAAGAAAACUGGCUUCCUUGAAAUCUCCUGAUAUAUAUGUAAAACUGUCAUGUCAUGUAAAUCAAAGGUAAUAUUCAAGGUGUCCAACUAAGUGUAAGGUCCGAAAUUAUGAUCAAAUGAUAUAAAGCAACUUAGCCUUGGAAACAAUAUGAAGCGUAGUACUAAUGUAGAAUAGUUGUAUCGGAGUUGACUUUAUAUAAAAAUAUCUUACAUCACUCUACUUAAAUUCAUCUUGUAUUUCUUCUCUGUAGUAUCUGAGUUCAGAAAACUUAUUCCAUUUAUAAUGUUCUCUUUAUAUUGGUUAUGCUAUCUUGAUCUUACCAUUCUUUUUAAAAGUCUUAUUGCAUAUUUAUUUUCCCUUUUUUCUUUCUAUUCUAUCAUUAUACCCAUAAGAGAAUUUGUUACACCUGAAAAGUGAAACAAACUAAAUUAAAAUAAAAUAAAAGAAUAAAUAAAAGAACAUUGGUCAGGUCUACAAAAGUUAAAAAUUUAAAAAUCACAUGGCCUUACUUAUGUUGAAAUAAAUAUUUUGUGUAUGGUUAAUACAAACUUCUCUAUUUCCUGGCAUGAGUAAUGAAUAGCGUAAUGUUACUUUUUACAUAAAUGCCAUUUCUGUAAACUCACUGUCUAAAUAUUUACUACUCUAGGUAAUUGCCAGAUCUUUUAUAUAUUAAAGGUCAUCAAGAAUGAGUUAAUCAUUUAGCAUUAGUAAUACAACUGGAAGGCUCAAGAAGUUCAAGUAUGCAAAAUGCUUUGGAAAGUCUUCUGAAAACUAUUGGACUAGUCCUAUCAUAAAUGGGAUAUUUAGAUACUGUACCAUUUGCACGUGUGUUUAUGUGUGUGUGAAUGUGUGUAUUGGUGUAUACGUGUGUGUUUGUGUCUUUCUGCAGGCACAUCUCAUUUAUAACUGUUAGAGUUGAAUCAGUCAAAUAAUCACUUUUGUGAUAGGCUCACUUUUGUGAAUGAUCUGAGUAUCAGAAUAGAAACCUAUAGAUAUGGCCAAAUGGUAAUAUUCAUUUAUGAUGAUUUUUUUAAAAACACAUUAAUUUUAUUGUGACAGAAUGUUGGUUAUUAAUGUUUGAAAGAUCUAGUUGCAUACACAGAUUCUUGGAUCAAAAAUAAAGAGCUCUGGGCUCACUUCUUAGAUCAGUCUGUGGCCAAAAUAAAUGAAUUUAAUUCCUGGCACAUCAAAGUUUGUCAAAAUUAGGCAGGAAAAAAAAAAAACAAAAA